rnacentral:rRNA from 1 species
AGAGUUUGAUCCUGGCUCAGGAUGAACGCUAGCGAUAGGCUUAACACAUGCAAGUCGAGGGGCAGCAUUAUUUUAGCUUGCUAAGAUAGAUGGCGACCGGCGCACGGGUGCGUAACGCGUAUGCAACCUGCCUGUAAUUAGGGAAUAACCCGGUGAAAGUCGGACUAAUACCCUAUAUUCUUCUUUCUCCGCAUGGGGGAGGACGGAAAGAUUUAUUGAUUACAGAUGGGCAUGCGUCCCAUUAGCUCGUUGGUAAGGUAACGGCUUACCAAGGCAACGAUGGGUAGGGGGACUGAGAGGUUGACCCCCCACACUGGUACUGAGACACGGACCAGACUCCUACGGGAGGCAGCAGUGAGGAAUAUUGGUCAAUGGGCGAGAGCCUGAACCAGCCAAGUCGCGUGAAGGACGACGGUUCUAUGGAUUGUAAACUUCUUUUGUAGAGGAAUAACGGCAGCUACGUGUAGCUGAGAUGCAUGUACUCUACGAAUAAGUAUCGGCUAACUCCGUGCCAGCAGCCGCGGUAAUACGGAGGAUACGAGCGUUAUCCGGAAUUAUUGGGUUUAAAGGGUGCGUAGGUGGCGUAUUAAGUCAGUGGUGAAAAGCUGCAGCUCAACUGUAGUCUUGCCGUUGAAACUGAUAUGCUAGAGAGGAGACGAGGUAUGCGGAAUGUGUGGUGUAGCGGUGAAAUGCAUAGAUAUCACACAGAACGCCGAUUGCGAAGGCAGCGUACCAGGCUCCGUCUGACACUGAAGCACGAAAGCGUGGGGAUCAAACAGGAUUAGAUACCCUGGUAGUCCACGCAGUAAACGAUGAAUACUAGAUUUUUGCGAUAUAGUGUAAGAGUCUAAGCGAAAGCGAUAAGUAUUCCACCUGGGGAGUACGCCGGCAACGGUGAAACUCAAAGGAAUUGACGGGGGCCCGCACAAGCGGAGGAACAUGUGGUUUAA